UUGGAGGGCAAGUCUGGUGCCAGCAGCCGCGGUAAUUCCAGCUCCAAUAGCGUAUAUUAAAGUUGUUGCAGUUAAAAAGCUCGUAGUUGAAUUUCGGGGUCAGUAGGUCGGUCGUGCCACUGGUAUGAACUGGUUUUACUGAUUCCUCCCUCUUGAAGAACUGUAAUGCCAUUAAUUUGGUGUUGCAGGGAAUCAGGACUGUUACUUUGAAAAAAUUAGAGUGUUUAAAGCAGGCUUUAGCUUGAAUACAUUAGCAUGGAAUAAUGAAAUAGGACGUUUGAUCCUAUUUUGUUGGUUUCUAGGAUUGACGUAAUGAUUAAUAGGGAUAGUUGGGGGCAUUAGUAUUCAAUUGUCAGAGGUGAAAUUCUUGGAUUUAUUGAAGACUAACUACUGCGAAAGCAUUUGCCAAGGAUGUUUUCAUUAAUCAAGAACGAAAGUUAGGGGAUCGAAGACGAUCAGAUACCGUCGUAGUCUUAACCAUAAACUAUGCCGACUAGGGACCGGAUGAUGUUAAUUUUUUAAUGACUCAUUCGGCGCCUUACGGGAAAC
rnacentral:rRNA from 1 species